rnacentral:rRNA from 1 species
UACGUAGGGGGCUAGCGUUGUCCGGAUUUAUUGGGCGUAAAGAGCGUGUAGGCGGCCAGGUAGGUCCGGUGUGAAAACUCGAGGCUUAACCUCGAGAUGUCAUCGGAAACCAUCUGGCUAGAGUCCGGAAGAGGAAAGUGGAAUUCCUGGUGUAGCGGUGAAAAUGCGCAGAUAUCAGGAAGAACACCAAUGGCGAAAGCAGCUUUCUGGGACGGUACUGACGCUGAGACGCGAAAGCGUGGGGAGCAAACAGG